GGGGCUGUAGCUCAGUUGGGAGAGCGACGCACUUGCACUGCGUAGGUCGCAGGUUCGAUUCCUGUCAGCUCCA
rnacentral:tRNA from 1 species